rnacentral:rRNA from 1 species
CGCCCGCCGCGCGCGGCGGGCCUACGGGAGGCAGCAGUGGGGAAUCUUCCGCAAUGGACGAAAGUCUGACGGAGCAACGCCGCGUGAGUGAAGAAGGUUUUCGGAUCGUAAAACUCUGUUGUUAAGGACGAAUGUAUAGAUUGUAAAUAAUGGUUUAUAAUGACGGUACUUAACGAGGAAGCCACGGCUAACUACGUGCCAGCAGCCGCGGUAAUA